UUUUAGAUUUGCGGGGAUUUUAACUCUCGCUAUCCAUUUAAAAAUAUACGGCGAACCAAAUUUCAUUUCCCCUCUAUUUUUAAAAUGGACAAAUGUUUUUUUCCCAUUCUCUUAGUUUUACCCAAAAACCCUACAAUGGUUAACAUAGUUUGCUCGAUUAUUCAGACCCAUUUCUCGAUUUCUGCCCAAAUCAUUAGAAGCUAAAAUUUGACUCAUUUAGUCCAAUUCUUUUUUCCUUUUGUAGGAAGAAAAUUGCUUGAUACUCACCGUCACAGGCAUGGCCAGAUAGAGAGUGAAUAGAGAGCAAUGUUCAUGAGAUCACAAAUUGGGUCGAGGCCACCUAGGUGUGAAAAAAGAUGUGGUACUUGCAGACUCUGUGAAGCUAUUCAGGUUCCAACAAAUCCCCACAAUUACAAAUGAAAACAACAACCACACCUUUGUGAAUGCUAAGGACUUGAUUUUGUUGUUGAUGCGGGUGUUUGAGUGGCUUAAACUGAAAGUGCACCUUGAAUUAUACUGCAGGGAAAGUUGGAAGUCAUGAAUGGUAACAACAUGGAGGUAGAGCAGGUUCGUGAUUUAGCUACUGAGAAGCGCGGGGAGGAGGAGGAGGGAGAGAAAGAGUUGUGUGAGAGCACGAUGAGAAUUCAACCAUGGACUAAAUAGAUAACGUUAAGAGGAGUCAUUGCUAGUACAGUUAUUGGUUGCAUAUACAGUAUGAUACAAAUGAAAAUAAACCUCACAACUGGGAUUAAUCCUAAUCUCAAUAUAUCUGCUGCACUUCUUGCCUAUAUUUUCAUUCAGGCGUGGACUAGGAUCCUUAAAAGCUUGGGUUUGUAUCUGUUCCUUUUACAAAACAGGAAAAUACCAUGAUACAAACAUGUUCUGUCGCGUGUUACAACAUUGCUCUUGGAGGUGGACUAGGAUCAUAUUUGUUGGGAAUGGAGAAGAAAACUUAUGAACUAGCAAGAGUUGGAACAGUUGGAAAUACAUCAAAUAGUUAUAAGAAACUUGAAUUUGGUUGGAUGACUGGCUAUCUUCUUGUAGUUUAAUUUUGAAGUUUAAUGUUUAAUGUAUUUUUGAUAUGUUUUUCAAUUACAAUGUUUAAUUACUCUGUUGUAUUAAUACAUGAAUUGUAGGUUAUACCUAAAGGAACAAUAAAAUUUGAGCUAAAAUUAGAAUCUA